UUUCUCUGUGUCCUUUACCUUUAACCUUGGAGCAGAUCACAGGCAAGAAUUUUGGUGGGCAGGCUGCAGUUGCAGAAUGCAGGUUGCGCCAGCAAAAUCUUUGAAGGGCUAACAUCUCUGGAAACUCAGGUCACGGAGGAAAAAUACAAGGCUUUUUUUCAAAACGCUAAAACACUAAAUAAAUUGCUCCCACAAAACAUGGAAGCAAAGACAACUUGUGAUACAGAAGGAAUGAAUGCAAGGAAAUUCUUAGAAAAAGUGAAAUAUUUCCUUCUUUC